rnacentral:rRNA from 1 species
UACGUAGGUGGCAAGCGUUGUUCGGAAUUAUUGGGCGUAAAGGGCGCGUAGGCGGUUUGUUAAGUCGGCUGUGAAAGCCCGGGCUCAACCCCGGAGGUCAGCCGAUACUGGCAGACUAGAGUACGGAAGAGGUAGCUGGAAUUCCCGGUGUAGCGGUGAAAUGCGUAGAUAUCAGGAGGAACACCGAUGGCGAAGGCAGGUCUCUGGGCUGAAACUGACGCUCAUGCACGAAAGCGUGGGGAGCAAACAGG